rnacentral:pre_miRNA from 1 species
AUGGUAGACUGUGAAGCGUACGUGUUGUUUAUGGCGUACGCAGCACGGUCUACUAACU